UACAGAGGGUGCGAGCGUUAAUCGGAAUUACUGGGCGUAAAGGGUGCGUAGGUGGUUUUUGUAAGUUAGAUGUGAAAUUCCUGGGCUUAACCUGGGGACUGCGUCUGAUACUGCGAGGCUAGAGUAUUGUAGAGGGAAGUGGAAUUUCCGGUGUAGCAGUGAAAUGCGUAGAUAUCGGAAGGAACAUCAGUGGCGAAGGCAACUUCCUGGACAGAUACUGACACUGAGGCACGAAAGCGUGGGGAGCAAACAGG
rnacentral:rRNA from 1 species